rnacentral:rRNA from 1 species
AAUGAACGCUGGCGGCAUGCCUAACACAUGCAAGUCGAACGAAGGCUUCGGCCUUAGUGGCGCACGGGUGCGUAACGCGUGGGAAUCUGCCCUCAGGUUCGAAAUAACAGCGAGAAAUUGCUGCUAAUACCGGAUGAUAUCGCGAGAUCAAAGAUUUAUCGCCUGAGGAUGAGCCCGCGUAGGAUUAGCUAGCUGGUGUGGUAAAGGCGCACCAAGGCGACGAUCCUUAGCUGGUCUGAGAGGAUGAUCAGCCACACUGGGACUGAGACACGGCCCAGACUCCUACGGGAGGCAGCAGUGGGGAAUAUUGGACAAUGGGCGAAAGCCUGAUCCAGCAAUGCCGCGUGAGUGAUGAAGGCCUUAGGGUUGUAAAGCUCUUUUACCCGGGAUGAUAAUGACAGUACCGGGAGAAUAAGCUCCGGCUAACUCCGUGCCAGCCGCCGCAGUAA